UUUAAGUGCAACCAUGAAUUUUCGCGUCCAACUUUGAUCGUCGGUUUUAUUUAAAAACUUUUUAUAAUUAAUAUUUUUGUUGUUAUGAGAUCAUAAAACAUGAAUAGUACUUUACUCAUGACUUAUGUUUUUAAAUUUUUUUAAAAAAAUUAAAUAAGACAGACGAUCAAAGUUGGAUGUGGAAAACCAUGCUGUAUUUAAA
rfam:Oryza sativa Japonica Group DNA, chromosome 8, cultivar: Nipponbare, complete sequence.